rnacentral:rRNA from 1 species
AGGGUGUAAACGCUGCGGACUUGGUGUUGGGGGCCCUUUGGGGGCAUUCAGUGCCGGAGAGAAGUUGUUAAGUCUGCUACUUGGGAGUACGUCCGCAAGGAUGAAACUUAAAGGAAUUGGCGGGGGAGCACCGCAACGGGAGGAGCGUGCGGUUUAAUUGGAUUCAACACCGUAAACUCACCAGGGAAGACUGUUACAUGAAGGCCGAGAUGAAGACUCUGCUAGAUUUUCAGAGAGGUGGUGCAUGGCGUCAGUGACU